UGUUUUUUUUUUCAGAGGAUGUUAAACCUGACCUUAGUUAUGGCAGUAAACGUAAACAUAUUGAUCAAACUUAUUGUUUACCAUGUGACCCAGAGAAACAAUCUAAAACUGCCUCCGAAACAGCUGUAAUUUUAACUUAUGCUGAAGACUCAAACAAGCCUUCUACAUUGAGAUGUCUUGAUGGAAAUGAAGUUGUAACGAGGAAACCAAUAAAUAAUGAAGUUGUGCAUUGCACUCCUAAAUUGAAGAGAAGACAUCGAGUUGUCUGAGAGGAAAAAGUUGUCACCA